UACGGAGGAUCCGAGCGUUAUCCGGAUUUAUUGGGUUUAAAGGGAGCGUAGGUGGACAGUUAAGUCAGUUGUGAAAGUUUGCGGCUCAACCGUAAAAUUGCAGUUGAAACUGGAGGCCUUGAGUGCACACAGGGAUGCCGGAAUUCAUGGUGUAGCGGUGAAAUGCUUAGAUAUCACGAAGAACUCCGAUUGCGAAGGCAGCCUGCUAAGCUGCAACUGACAUUGAGGCUCGAAAGUGUGGGUAUCAAACAGG
rnacentral:rRNA from 1 species